GAGGCGGCUAGGGAUGGCAGCAGGUGGGGCUGCCUGGUGGCCCAGGUGACCCUGGAGAGAGGGGUAAGAACUCGUGUGUGCGGGAGGGGACGCUGGUCGUGAGCAGUGGGAAGUCACCGCAGUGGGGCCUGACAAGCGCGACGUCACAGGUGCUGGGCAAGGUGGACUGGGUCCCACGGCAUCUAGGGUCAGGUAGCGCAGGACUCCUCUCCCACGGCUGCAGAGGCUAAUGUCAGGAAGCACGGGCUGCCUGCCUUCCGCCACCCUCCGUCACCAUGAAGUGUGAGCGACAAGGCUCAGAAAGGAAGGAACAGAUCUCCCUGCGAAGUGACAGAAAAGUUACAAGAGUCUAACUAAUCAUGAAGACUCUCUUACCUAGAUUCGAAAC
rnacentral:lncRNA from 1 species